rnacentral:rRNA from 1 species
UUCCGGUUGAUCCUGCCGGAGCUACCGCUAUUGGAAUCCGAUUAAGCCAUGCGAGUCGAGAGAUUUCGGAUCUCGGCAGACGUCUCAGUAACACGCGGAUAAUCUGCCUUGAGUGGAGGAUAAUCUCGGAAACUGAGCAUAAUACUCCAUAGACUAGGAUGCUGGAAUGCUUCUAGGUUCAAAGCUCCGGCGCUCAAGGAUGAGUCUGCGGCCUAUCAGGCAGUAGUGGGUGUAACGGACCCACUAACCUUUGACGGGUAUGGGCCUUGAGAGAGGUUGCCCAGAGUUGGACUCUGAGACACGAGUCCAGGCCCUACGGGGUGCAGCAGGCGCGAAAACUUCACAAUGUGGGAAACCGCGAUGAGGGGAUUCCAAGUGCCAGCACACUGUGUUGGCUGUUCACCUGCCUAAAAAGCUGGUGAAGUAAGGGCCGGGUAAGACGGGUGCCAGCCGCCGCGGUAAUACCCGCGGCCCGAGUGGUGGUCGUUAUUAUUGAGCCUAAAGCGUCCGUAGCCGGUUUGGUAAAUUUCUGGGUAAAUCGGGCAGCUUAACUGUCCGAAUUCCGGAAAGACUGCCAAACUUGGGACCGGGGGAGGUUGGAGGUACUCCUGGGGUAGGGGUGAAAUCCUGUAAUCCUGGGGGACCACCAGUGGCGAAGGCGUCCAACCAAAACGGAUCCGACGGUAAGGGACGAAGCCCUGGGGCGCAAACGGGAUUAGAUACCCCGGUAGUCCAGGGUGUAAACGCUGCAGGCUUGGUGUUGGGGGUCCUACGAGGGCGCCCAGUGCCGGAGAGAAGUUGUUAAGCCUGCCGCUUGGGGAGUACGUCCGCAAGGAUGAAACUUAAAGGAAUUGGCGGGGGAGCACAGCAACGGGUGGAGCGUGCGGUUCAAUUGGAAUCAACGCCGGU